GUGGUGGACUCGUGGUCUCACACCUCCACCGAAUCGAACACACACCGCGCCACAGAGUGGCCAUAUAGCACGAUCCUUGCUUGCAGAGAAAGUUGAUUGAAGCCAGACAGAAAAGGGGGAAGGGUCCGAUCCGGGGCGAGAACUCCUCCGCACCUCCGCACCUCCGCGCCGCAUCCAAACAGAUCCACACCCGAAAUCCCCGAAACCCUCGCCGGCGACCAUGGGGCAGGGCACGCCGGGCGGCAUGGGCAAGCAGGGCGGCGCCCCGGGCGACCGCGGCAAGCCGGGCGGCGACGGCGACAAGAAGGACAAGAAGUUCGAGCCGCCCGCCGCGCCGUCCCGCGUCGGCCGCAAGCAGCGCCGCCAGAAGGGGCCCGAGGCGGCCGCCCGCCUCCCCGGCGUCGCGCCGCUCUCCAAGUGCCGCCUCCGCCUCCUCAAGCUCGACCGCGUCAAGGACUACCUCCUCAUGGAGGAGGAGUUCGUCGCCGCGCAGGAGCGCCUCCGCCCCACCGAGGAGAAGACGGAGGAGGACCGCUCCAAGGUCGACGACCUCCGCGGCACCCCCAUGAGCGUCGGAUCCCUCGAGGAGAUCAUCGACGAGAGCCACGCCAUCGUCUCCUCCUCCGUCGGCCCCGAGUACUACGUCGGCAUACUCUCCUUCGUCGACAAGGACCAGCUCGAGCCAGGCUGCUCCAUCCUCAUGCACAACAAGGUUCUCUCCGUGGUUGGAAUUCUGCAAGACGAAGUUGAUCCUAUGGUAUCUGUGAUGAAAGUUGAGAAAGCUCCGCUGGAAUCAUAUGCGGACAUUGGUGGGUUAGAUGCUCAGAUUCAAGAAAUAAAAGAGGCGGUUGAGCUUCCACUAACCCACCCCGAGUUAUAUGAAGACAUUGGAAUAAGGCCACCCAAGGGGGUCAUAUUAUAUGGAGAACCGGGAACAGGGAAAACUCUACUUGCCAAGGCUGUUGCUAACUCCACAUCUGCAACUUUCUUACGUGUCGUUGGAAGUGAACUUAUUCAGAAGUACCUUGGCGACGGUCCAAAACUAGUUAGAGAACUAUUUAGAGUGGCGGAUGAGCUUUCCCCCUCGAUAGUCUUCAUCGAUGAGAUCGAUGCAGUUGGAACAAAGAGGUAUGAUGCUCAUUCAGGAGGGGAGCGUGAGAUUCAAAGAACUAUGUUGGAGUUGCUGAACCAGCUAGAUGGUUUUGACUCACGCGGAGAUGUUAAAGUUAUUCUAGCUACGAAUCGCAUUGAAAGUCUUGAUCCAGCCUUGCUUCGCCCUGGCCGAAUAGACCGAAAGAUAGAAUUCCCUCUUCCAGACAUUAAGACUAGGCGGCGCAUCUUCCAGAUACAUACGGCGAAGAUGACAUUGUCAGAUGAUGUGAACCUGGAAGAGUUUGUCAUGACUAAGGAUGAGUUUUCUGGUGCUGACAUCAAAGCAAUAUGCACCGAAUCUGGCUUGCUUGCUUUGAGAGAGCGUAGGAUGAAGGUGACGCACGCCGACUUCAAGAAGGCAAAGGAGAAGGUCAUGUUCAAGAAGAAGGAAGGCGUGCCGGAGGGGCUUUACAUGUGAUGAAUUGUGCACCGGUCUUCACUACCAGAACAACAUUGUGUAGUGAUAAUAUAUUUGGUAUCGUGGGAUAUGUUCCCCGGUUUGGAGAAUAGACGCAAAUUUGUUUGUAACCUUGUCUUCGCCUGAAUGUGGCCAGUCAUCAAAACCGUGGCAUUCUGGUGCUUCCCUCAAAUUCAUUCCAGGUAGCAUGGGUUGAUGUUGAGUAAAUAUACGCUGCAACCGGAUAGCUAUGUUCUGUUGUGCCAUGGUUAUUAAUGGAUAAUCGAAAUUCGAUUGCAUACAAAGGAAGUAGGAAAUCUCGUAUGGAUAACUAAUUUUUGUAUGUCCUUCGACUGCAUAAGCAAGGACUGCAUCUUGCGGAGAUCUGCAGAAAAGAGGUGACCCGCUUCGUUUGUGGCGCCUUCGGCCACAGGUCCUUCUACUGUCCUAGGCGAGGGAAGCAAGGUAACCAAGUAAUUCUCUUUCUUGUGCUUCAGCCCUAUGAGGAUAUGGUGAGAAACGUGGAACAUUUGAGAAAAUGUGCUGUGUCG
rnacentral:rRNA from 1 species